UCCAACCUACAAGUCUGCUGCGUUCAUCGCUAACUAGUCAAUGGAGAGAAGCAACCGGCUCUCCUCUUAUCCACUCCUCCGCUUCCCCUUCCUCCUGUUCCUCCUCCUCUCAUCGUCGGCGGCGCUCACGGCGGCGACAUCAGAAAACGCUAAUAAAGGCGCCUCCUUUUCCGCCGCCGAGGCGGAGGCGGCGGUUUCCCGAUUCCAGGAGUACCUCCGGAUCAACACCUCCCAGCCGGACCCCGACUACGCCACGGCCGUCCGCUUCCUCCGCGCCCAGGCCGACGCUCUUUCCCUCGAGUCCGACGUCUUCGAGUUCGCCCCCGGCAAGCCCCUCCUCCUCCUCCGGUGGCCCGGCCGCAUCCCCUCCCUCCACGCCCUCCUCCUUAACUCCCAUACCGACGUCGUCCCCGCCGAGCCCCUCAAGUGGGUCUAUCCCCCCUUCUCCGCGGCUCUCGACCCCUCCACCGGCAACAUCUACGCCCGUGGCUCCCAGGACAUGAAGUGCGUCGGCCUCCAGUACCUCGAGGCCCUCCGUCGGCUCCGUGCCGCCGACUUUGCCCCGGACCGCACCAUCUACCUCUCCUUCGUCCCCGACGAGGAGAUCGGGGGGAACGACGGCGCCGGGAGAUUCGCCGCGUCGGAGAAGUUUCAAAAAAUGAAGGUCGGGGUGGUGCUUGACGAGGGACUGGCGUCGCCGGGGGAGGAGUACAGGGUGUUCUACGGGGAGAGGAGCCCCUGGUGGCUAGUGAUCAGAGCGCGGGGAGCGCCGGGGCACGGGGCGAAGCUUUAUGAUGGGAGUGCGAUGGAGAAUUUGAUGAAGAGUGUGGAGGCCGUGAGGCGGUUCAGGGCGGCACAGUUCGAUUUGGUGAAGGCUGGGGUGAAGGCCGAGGGGGAGGUGGUGUCGGUGAAUCUGGUCUACCUCAAGGCUGGGACGCCAUCACCCACUGGUUUUGUCAUGAAUCUGCAGCCAUCUGAAGCAGAGGUAGGCCUUGACAUCCGAGUCCCUCCUAAUGCUGAUACUGAAGCAUUGGAGAGACGUAUUGCUGAAGAAUGGGCACCUUCAUCACGUAAUAUGACAUUCGAGUUUAAGCACAAGGUUUCUGUGCAUGAUCUGUUUGGAAAGCCAGCCAUUACGGCUGCUGACAAUUCCAACCCAUGGUGGAUGCUGUUGGAAGAAGCUAUGAAGAAAGCCAAUGGUAAACUAAGUAAGCCAGAAAUAUUCCCAGCCUCAACUGAUUCUCGAUUUUUCAGAGAACGAGGGAUACCUGCAUUUGGUUUUUCACCAAUGGCAAAUACUCCUAUAUUGCUUCAUGGCCAUAAUGAGUUCUUGAACAAAGAUGAGUAUCUGAAAGGAAUAGAGAUAUAUGAGUCUAUCAUCAAAGCAUUUGCUUCUUACAAGGGUGACACCAAGGACGAAGAAUCAAGGGCAGAGCUGUAAGCAUGGAGGCUUUUCCUGUUUCUCAUUGUGCAGGUGAUUUGAGUGCUAGAGAGUAGCAUGCUGAAGGGAUUACAUCGAGGCAGAAAUUGCCCGUCAAGAGGCCAGGCUGAAGAUGGAGAGGGAAAAUCUAGAGAAGGAAAAGAGUGUCCUCAUGGGCACUGCAUCAAAUCAGGACAACCAAGAUGGUGCUCUUGAGAUCACUGUCAGUGGUGAGAAGUACCGGUGCCUUCGAUUCUCCAAGGCGAAAAAAUGAUAUUAUGAGACAAAUAAAGAGAAUAGAGCAUCCUGGUAUUUGUCCAACUAUCUUGGUGAUUAACAAGGACCAGGUAUAGAUAUUCCAAGGAUUGAAUUAGUUUUUGUCCAAGCAUCUUGGUGAUUAACAUUUGAUAUUGAAGUAGCAUUUAUAUUUGAUUUUUUGUAGAGAAAAUUGGCCUAAUAUGUUAAUGCAUAUUCUUUUUUUCUAAAGUUUGCAUUCUAUGAGAA